rnacentral:lncRNA from 1 species
CUGCUGUCAAGAUUUGCUCCGAUGGAAUAUGGGUAUAAAUAUCCCUCCGACCUGAGACCGCCAUGGUGACUUGCAAGCAACUCACUACACUUAGACAUUGGACUACCUAAAUUUUUAAUUCAGUGACGGAAGGCUGCUGGGUGUAGUCAAGUACUUGACUUGUCGGUGCAUGUGUCAAGAUGGGAUUGACCACUCCAGUUUAGGAGCUGUGUACAGUCGUGCUUCAAUUU